UUGUGGGUGGUAGCUGGUAUGUUGGUGGAAACUCCAUGCUUCCAUGGAACCAGCUGUAGAGGAGUGGUGAUGCAAUGAGCAUCCUGGAAGUUUAGUUGUCAUUUGUCACCUUUUGGAUAAUGGAGUAGAUUUCUGAAGCUAUUUCUCCUUGUUUGGUGUUCUGCCUGCAAUUUGGACAAGUGGACUUCAGAUUAUGUCUUCGUAGACUGAAAGGCUUGGGACUACUUUGGUUUUCUGGGGGUCCACUUCAGACCCUAGUUGCCUUGGUUUUUCCCAUACCUGGAGAUGUCACCAGUGAAGCCUGGGAAACAGCAAAGAGGGCAGCCUGAUCGUUCAUCUGGAAACUUUGUUCCAGCAUAAGAAGCCUCUCACCCUAAACAUCACAGCUGGGAAUAUGCUGGACCACAACUAAAGCCAGCAUGGCACUGACUCUGACCAAAGGUGAGACCCAGUACUCAUCAAGGAUUAGCUUCCAGGGGUCCUAGCAAGGUGCAUCACAGUGUCAAGAAUGCACUGCAUUCAGAGAAGUUCAAACUAUGGAUUCCCACCAGAGAAGCCUGAAGUGCUCUGAAGGCUGCCAACAAAAUGUCAAGUGAGUCCACUGACAAAAAGGAAGAGAAACCUUGGAAAAACAUUAUUGCUUAUGUUCCAUCUGAAUCUGAGCAGCUGACCUGAGGAAGGAGGUGGCUCAUCCAAGCUGAGACAUGGUGUUUCAAGAGGUGAAACCACAGGGAAAGUUUGAAAUGAAAGUCAUAUGGGAAGAAAGGGAGAGAAGCAAGUUGGAAAUCUUUCUAGAUCACCAUCCCGUAUUGGUACCCAUGCCUCAGUUUAUUUCUGCUGGAGAAGGUGAUGCUAGAAGCUCAGGUUCUCUGUCCUCUCCAUGAUCCUGUGAGCUGUCUAAUAUCCCUCCAUAAAAGCCUGCUGUCUUAAACUAGCUAAAGGUGACUUUCUUGUUUGUAUCUAAGAACUUUCACCAAUACACAUCGCUUUCUCCCUCUCUCUCAACUUACUCUUCACUUCUUUAGGGUAAUGUAAAUUUAAAGUAAUCAGGUUUUCCUGAUUAUGGCACUUCACCCUAUUAUAGAGGCUCACAGCUCCAGAUGUUUCUCCUUUAUAGUGCUUAUUGUAAGUGCAGUUAUAUACUUAUUUAUAGGAUUAUUUAAUAAUCCUUUCUUUCCACUAGAGUGGAAAUUCAGUGAGGGCAAGAACCUGGUGCUGUAGGUGUCUCUGGUGCUUAGCACAGGGUAUGACUCACAGGAGGAACAGAGUUACAGUAGUUGCAGAACAUCUUUGGCAAUGAAUAGUUAAUGAAUAAGGACUUCAGGUUGCUCUAUGUUUCCAGGGUUCUUGUGGGUCUCAGGGCAUGGAAAUGGUCAGAGAUCUUGAGGAUGGUGUUACUGCUCUGGGAGAGUAGAUUGAUUUUCCCUUAUUUCUAAGUCUGUAUUUCCACAUAGUUUGCGCUCCUGCUGUUUUUUAGUCUCUCUCUGGCUUUUCAUAAAAAACACUCAUUUUAUUUUUGGAACAGUACUUGUAUAACCAGGGCUUUUCAGUUCCUAUCUGGUGUGUGUUUGGGGACUGAUUGUAGCUCAAAGUGCUAAAAAGGAAAAUGGCAUUUGUCACUGGGUUGUAGUACUGUACACUCUGCUUUCUUAAAAGCCACAUUUUACUCUUCAAGGCUGAUUAUUCCCUAGUGGUUUGGGUAGACGUUUGGCUCAGGGAUACAACCACAGUAUUCAGAAUGUGACAUCUGUGAUGGAAUCUGGGCUCUGCCUCUCACCACCUGUAUGACCUUGGACAGGAGACCUAAUAUUUCUGGAACUCAGUUGCUUCAUUAAAAUGAGGAUGAAGAUACUUUCAUGGUUGCUGGAAGGAUUAAAUAGAAAAUACUAGUGAAGUCCUGAUCCAAAGUAAAUACUCAGCAAAUCUUUGUAUAAUACAUCUCCAUGCCCUUUCUUUUUCCCCUCUUUCUCAAAAUAAUCUGAGGAGGCCACCCAUGGAGAAUUUUAUCUAGGCUCGACCCCAGAAUCUCUGAAUGAAUGAGUGAAUUAACUCAGUGAAUGAAGAAAGGAAGAUUUGAAUGAAUGAUAAUGUGAGCCAUACAAUUCAUUACUAAAGGAUGCUGGGACAGUAGUGGUGACAGUAAUUAUUUAGUGAGUGCCCAAAGGCUGGACUUUGUGGCAGGCAGUUUACAGAAAUUAUCUCAUGUAACUAUUGUAAGAGUCCUUUAAGAAAGUUACCAUAGUCACCAUUUUACAAAUGAGGAAACAAAACCUCAGUGAAAUUGUCACAUAACAGUGGUGCCAUGACUAGUAAGUGGUUUUACUAAGGUGUCAUGAAAAUAGAAGGCCACAGAUAUGUAUGUGUGUGCGUAGAUGUAUUUGUGGGUAUAUGUAUAUAUGUAUCACACUCAUACAUACAUGUGUAGUAUUUAUCUUAGUCUCCCCAAAAUAGUAGUCAUCCAGGACAUGAUUGUACAGUUAUUGAGUGACUAUAAAUGUUGGUGGUGAUUGGAAGAGUAAAGGCAGAUAAAGUGAAGGGUAGAACAGGAAUGGUAGCUUUGACAAGGUAGCCUUGGGAAGGGGAACACAAAGGCAAUUGACAGAGGGCUUUUGGGGCUACCUUCCUGUUCUUUAGAGAUGAGAGACCUGGGAGAGUUUUCUGAGCCUCUGAGUAAGGCAAGAAGGUUCACAGAUCCCAGGAUCCAAGGCUGCAGGGCUAGUAUCCAGCAAGGGCACUGAUGAAACCAUUGGGCACGUGUGUACAUCUUUGCAUGUAGUGAAUUAAGUGAUGUAUGUCAGCAUCCAGAGCUUUCCCUCUUAAGGGCUUCCAAGUAGCUUUAUAGUUGUAAUAACACUGGAAACACAUGGAAUAUUGACACCCAGUUUUUGAGUGACAUGAAGCAGACUGUCUUGAGUGGACAUAUAGAUUGAAAGCACCAGUUUAAGUUGGAUGGGGAUCCUGUAUGGCCCUGAACCCUGGUAUCACAUAGCCUUGGAUUAUUUGUCUUUCUGUGUUUUAUUUCCUCAUUCGUAGAUGGAGAUAUAAAUGUGUUUAUCUGAUACAAUUUUUGUGAGGUGAAGAUGAAAUAAUGUAUGUAAGGCACAGCACAAUUCCUGGCACCUAGUUAGUGCUUAAUAAAGUACAUAUAUUUAUAAUGAUUCCCAUGAAAAAUUUGUUACAGGGAAAAACAUUUGUAAGCCUUAGUCCAUUCAGCUUUAGGAUCACUAACAAGACACAGAGGCUCUUUGGAAGGUUUGUACCUUGGUUUAUUUUGCUAACAUAUUCUGGUCCUAGUUUAGUGGGACUGACCCAGAGUGAGCUUUAACCCAGGCUGUUAACACUCUGGACAACUAGUGAAGAGGAAGAGAGAAGGCAUUUCCCAGGGCUGCCAUGUGCCACUCGGGGUACUGGGCCUUGAGGACAGUGUGGAGUCCUUUGUCUUUGGCCAUUUCCCUUCCAUGCCUGAGCAUUGUGGGGUUGGAGACACCAGCCAUCUUCCAGCCUGUGGUGUCGACACUCAGGUGGUCAGCACCAGUCAUGGCUGCCAUCACACCUGUGCACCAGCAUCCUCUAGUCAGCUGCAGUGUCUGCAUACUUGGCCUCCAUAACUUUUCUCAGCUUUUGAAAUAGGCUGAUUGAACCUGAGAUCAGACCUUCCUGAGCAAGGUCAAGAGGGUACAAACGGGGAGGUAAGGCAUAUUAAAUGGGUAGUCAGAGUAGACAAGCCUUGAGGGAAAUGGAGCAGGUUCUUCAUCCUAGAAGUCAUAUUAAAUGGAUGCUUAAUUGUCUAAUUCAGGAUGGUUCUCCGGAAUGAGGUACUAACAAGGGGAAGAACCCUACAUCUUGGCUCCAGGUCCUUAUCUCAGACUUAAGGUCACAGUUCCUGAAGCAUGUUGGAGUGAAUGCUGGUCCCAAAAAUGUUUAAGGAGGUAAAGGGUUCCAUAGUCAAAUUGGUCUGAGAAACACUUGCCUAUUGCCUUAGAUGAUUUGCAGUAAACAUCCUGAAAAUUCCUAGAAUAAACAAAACCUGUUCAACCCAUUAUUUUCAAGAACAGAACUUUUCAGGGAGCCUUAAAAAAUCGCAUCAAUUGAAGAAUAUUCUAUGUGCUCCAUGCAGUGCACAUUAGGAAAAUCAGGCUCAAGGGCUUCUUGAACUGAAGCAGUCAGUGGGGAGUUAUUUCUUGUGUCUUCCCAGCCCUGUUCCUUCUUUCAGUGAAGGUUCUCUGUGUCUUCUUUGAGCAAUGCUCCUCCCCUCUCCCCUGCACCAUCUGUCUCCCAGAUAUUUGUUCUUGGUGGUGAGGAGAGAGGGAGGCUGUCAGACAUGGACCCUAGUCCCAUGCAUAGCCCCAGGGGCUGUACCUGACACAGGGAGGGCCAAAGCAGUGCUUAAUCAAGACUUUGAGCCAGUACCGAGGAGAAGAGCACUUCCCUUUCUGAAGUUAUAGCAGACAAAAUGUGAGCUUGAGAGCUGCCAUCUACUACAGAACCCACCUAGUAAUAAAAAUUGGUUAGAAAAAACCUGCCAAUAUGCAAAAAGGGCAGACAUGAGGGGCACCUAGUUAGGGCCUAAUAAAUGAUAUAGCAUAAAAU
rnacentral:lncRNA from 1 species